rnacentral:lncRNA from 1 species
GAGAACAUUCCAGAGAGAAGAGCAGAAAAAGCAGUAAAAGGGACACAGUAAACUGAUCUUUCAGCAUACGAGUAUGCUUUCUUGCAUCUAGGGAUACCCAAGUCACAGCAGUGAUGAAAAGAAGAAAAUGAUCCAAAGCACCGAAAGACAACUGAGUGACUUUUCUAUUCACAAAUUGAUAGACUGAGAAGAAGGAAGGAAUAAAAGAUCUGUCUUGUGAAAUUGAAGAGAGAUCAUGGAUAAAAAUGUUGAGUAGAGAUGACCCUAGAGUUGAGCCUGGAGGAUCUGCACCAGUGACUGGCCACCAUCCAGAUGUAGCCGUAUUCACUACAGCACUUUGAGCUCUGUGAUCAAGCUGAAUAGUCCCAUGUCUCCCAGCCUUUCCUCAUAUGGAAGAUAUUUCAGGCCUCUAAAAAAACUAAGAAUGGCUUUUGAGAUGGAAAAACAACAACAAAAAGAAAAGGAAAAGGAAAAGAAAAAGGAAAAGGAAAAGAAAAAGAAAAAGAAAAAGAAAAAGAAAAAGAAAAAGAAAAAGAAAAAGAAAAAGAAAAAGAAAAAGAAAAAGAAAAAGAAAAAGAAAAGAAAAAGAAAAAGAAAAAGAAAAAAAAAACAGUCUUUCCCUCAUAAAGUAUUUCAGUUUCCAUAAAUGAAUAUACAUCAGAUGUGUGGAGGUGGGAGGUGGAGGAGGAAGAUUCUUUCAAAACCAUGGUAAGAUUUUUCAAUUUGAUGUCCAAAAGUACUGUUAGUCUAUGCUUCUGAAGUGUGUGAAUGGAUAAGUGGUGAAGGAGGUCAAAAAUGACUUUAUGAUUAAGGCAUAAGGAUAUGACUCAGAAUUUUAGUAAACACAAGUUUUUCCAGGCAUUUCUACUGUGAUGUUGAGCAGUUUACUUACUCUUUCAGCAUUUUACACUUUGAAUAAAACGGGUCUACCUUGCAGAGAUAUUAUAAGGUUAAAAGUACUGAUGUCAGGCUGCUAUGGUGGUGAAGAGUCUGCAAGUACUCACUUAAAAAAUAGUGACAUUUUUUUAGGCCAAUCAUUCAUAAAUUAGAAUGCCAGAAUGUGUUUUCCUAAAGCACUCCUCUUAUCCUAACAAGGGUCUAUAUAGAAAACAGGCAAGAAAGAAAACAACCAACAGAGAAAACCGGAAAAAGGGAAAGCAAGGGAUGAAAAAACAUGUUUACGGAAUCUCUCAUCUUGAAAGGAGAAUUAAUUUGAAAACUUGAAUUCCAGAAAAAAAUUACUGACCUGUGCUUUUAUUUUAAUGUAAAAAAAUGGCAUGACCAUGGAUCAUACAAAAUAGCCACAGAGUUUACUAAUUUCAUUAUAGAGUGCUCCAAUAAUGAACAAAAUGGCCCACUGUAAAUUUUGAAUUGGUCCUUUUCAUUUUAAAAAUAAUUGGGAAGCUAAAUGAGGAAAAUUAUAUAUAAAAAAAAAAAAAGUCUCAUUUCAAUAAAAACGUACGAGUAAAUGUUACAGUGAAAGUCGUGGAAACUUUUGGUCUUCCUGUAGAUUUAAAAUAGGCACAAACAUAUAGCUGUUACUGUGAGUUUCAGAUAGAGUGAAGCAGAGAAAGAUAGAGAAAAGUGAAUUUAGUUUCUCUGUUAUGCUCUAUUACUUGUACAUCAGCUUCUGGAGAUAUACAUUAUGACAGCAAAAGUCAUCAUCAAGGUCUGGUUGUAGCCCAUGGCCACAACACUAGGCAAAGGUAUAAACUCCUACAUGCUCUAAACCAGUCAUACAUUGUUUCUCACAUUCAGACUUGAUUAUUUAUUUUACCUACUCUUAACUGUCAUCUUUUGUAUGUAAUGUGCAGUGUAAUUUGAAAUUUAAGGCUAGUUGGUUUAGAUUUAUCACAGACAAAUUUUGAUCCCUCUGUCUACUCGAGUCAUAUCCAUCUAGUUUAUUUUAUGUUGGUUACUUUGUAAUGCCUCCUAUUAAUUUCUGUGGAAAUUACAGCAGACAUAAAGAGUACAAUAACACAAUUUAGUAUAGAAAAUUCUAGCUACAAUACACUAUUUUUCAACACAGUCAUCUCUAUUAGAUAUGCAUUUUCAUCAGAAAUGAACAAAAGCCUUCAUGUCGUGCUCAUAAAAAUCUGCACCAGCAGAUGUGACCACUGUUUCACAGCUGCUGUGAAACAGUAAAACAGUGUUGUUGCUAGGAAAAUGUUGCCUGUGCAGUCCAACUUUCACCAUGCUAACAUUCACUGUUGGUCUCCAUAUAUGUUCCACAAGCAAUGAUCAGUGUCAAUGGAUGAUUUUUUUUUUUUUUUCCACAUGGAGAAAUUCAAUGACACAUAUUUGUUUCAUAAACACUUCCAGUCAGAUGACAUUCUGCAAGACUGCACCUCUGCUGCUACCAGUCACACAGCAACAGAAUGUAACGGAAUAGUGGUGGGCAGGUUCAGCUUUUACUGCCAUACUGUCAAUAUCUGCCUGUUACAUUGUGGGCCAACAUGAUAAAGUAGGAGGCACUAAUUCUG